UGUACUUUCUGUUCUUGUCCUUCUCAG
rnacentral:piRNA from 1 species